CAAUAGCGUAUAUUAAAGUUGUUGCGGUUAAAAAGCUCGUAGUUGGAGUUCUGCCAGGUGACACUCGUCCGCCCAAGUGGUGUGUACAGGGUGUGCAUCUGGCCCUUUCAAGGGGAACGUGUCUGCACUUCAUUGUGUGGUGCGAGAUCCUUGACUUUUACUUUGAGGAAAUAAGAGUGUUCCAAGCAGGCUCUCGUCGUGCAUAGCUCAGCAUGGAAUAAUAGCAUUGGACUUCGUUUCUACGCUGUUGGUUGCAAGAAGCGAGGUAAUGAUGAAGAGGGAUAGUUGGGGGCAUUCGUAUUUAACUGUCAGAGGUGAAAUUCUUUGAUUUGUUAAAGACGGACUACUGCGAAAGCAUCUGCCAUGGAUGUUUUCAUUGA
rnacentral:rRNA from 1 species